AGAGUUUGAUCAUAGCUCAGGAUGAACGUUGGCUGUGUGCCUAAGGUAUGCAAGUCGAACGAUCCCGCCAACCUAUAGUUGCUUGCAAUUACUGGUUUUAGGGAUAGUGGCAAACGGGUGAGUAACACGUGGACAACCUGCCUUGAAGUCAUGAAUAGCUCAUCGAAAGAUGAGAUAAUACAUGAUAGUCUUACUUUUUCUUUAGAUUUUGUAAGUAAAGUUACGGCGCUUCAAGAGGGGUCUGCGUCCUAUCAGCUUGUUGGUGAGGUAAUAGCUCACCAAGGCUAAGACGGGUAGCUGGCGUGAGAGCGCGGUCAGCCACCAUGGAACUGAGACACGGUCCAUACUNNNNNNNNNNGUCCAUACUCCUACGGGAGGCAGCAAUUAGGAAUCUUGCGCAAUGGGGGCAACCCUGACGCAGCGACACAGCGUGGAGGAAGAAUGUCUUCGGAUUGUAAACUCCUUUUAUAUGGGAAGAAUAGAUGACGGUACCAUAUGAAUAAGCACCUGCUAACUACGUGCCAGAAGCAUCGGUAAUGCGUAGGGUGCGAACGUUAUCCGGAUUUAUUGGGCGUAUAGGGAUGCGUAGGCGUUUCUGUAAGUCUUUAGUUAAAGGCCACGGCUCAACCGUGGAAAAGCUUCGGAUACUGCAGAAAUUGAGACAGGAAGAGGCGAACAGAAUUCCCAGUGGAGCGGUGAAAUGCGUUGAUACUGGGAGGAAUAUCAGUGGCGAAGGCGGUUCGCUGGUCCUUGUCUGACGCUAAGGCUCGAAAGCGUGGGUAGCGAAACGGAUUAGAUACCCGUGUAGUCCACGCUGUAAACUAUGAAUGCUAGGUGUUCGGUACAACUGUUUUUCCCCUCGGGGAAAAAUGGAAGUAUUGAGUGCCGCAGUUAACACGUUAAGCAUUCCGCCUGGGAAGUACUGCCGCAAGGCUAAAACUCAAAUGAAUUGGCGGGGACCCGCAC
rnacentral:rRNA from 1 species